rnacentral:lncRNA from 1 species
CGGGUCCCGUCCCCCAGUCUCUCUCGGGUCCCGUCCCCCAGUCUCUCUCGGGUCCGGUCCCCCAGUCUCUCUCGGGUCCGGUCCCCCAGUCUCUCUCGGGUCCAGUCCCGUCUCUCUCAGGUCCAGUCCCGUCCCCCGUCCCCCUCAGGUCCAGUCCCCAGUCUCUCUCAGGUCCGGUCCCGUCCCCACCAGAGCCAGUCAGUCAGUGCCGCGUGGCCUCUAUCGCCUCCUGGUGGACAGAGUGGAGGUAGUACGGCUCAGGCUGAGCCCAGGGAAGUGAACUGUAGGGGUUCUGGGUGUGGGACCGUAGAGACCCAGGUUACGGGCUGCAGAUGAACGUCUGUGCUGUUUCACACUCGGGAAGGGAGAGAACACCUGACGGGAG